CAUGUGAAGCAAGCUUGUUUCCAAUUAAAAAAAAGUUUUGAAUGAAAAUAAAAAAGAUGUGUCUACUUCUCUCCCUUCUGUGGCUUCUCACCCACCUUUUCCCAGAGUCCCCAAAGCUCUCCAGUCAAAUAAUAUGUAGCACAUCAUUCUAGGGUAAACUUUCACAAACAUUAUGUUCUCUGGAGAAUAUGUCAGUAAUAUUUUCAAGUCCUUCUCAAUCUUGUCAUAUGCCAUUGUGCAUCUUCAAAUGCACCCUGCCUAACAGUAUCAGGGAACACUGACCUUGGUCCUUCUCAUUUCUGGAGUCAUGUGUUUGGACCCUAUUUGUUAGCAUGGCAUUGUAGUUUUAUUUAUAGCUUCCAUUUGCUCUCUUCUCUUUUGAAAAAUAAGUCACUUGAUUAUGUUUUCCUCUUGUAAUUUCAAAGGUGAUGAUCCUGUUUUAACUGAACUAAUCUUACCCCUACCACUUCCAUCCAAGUCCUUUUUUUUUCAGUACUGUGGAUUGAACCUUGGUUUUCCACAUAUACCAGGGGAACACUACCACUGAGCUAAUCAACUGGUUACACCUAUGAGAUUCCUUUAGGACACAUGUGUCCUUGGUCUUGCUCCUGACUCCUUCAUAAACUUCAUGUUUAUCACACCCUGUGCUCUGCUGUCAGACAUUUUGAUGUCUGAUCUUUAACCCAAGGGAUUUAGAUGAUGCUAUUUUAAAGUUGCAAGAAGGGAUUCUGGGUUUGUAACCUGUUCUUGGUCCUCAGAGCUGGGACAAUGGGUUUGCAAGUUUUCUGUCUGUCUUCUGCUGAAGCAUGGGCCUCUCUGUGGAACAGAGUAGGAGAGUGUCCUCUUCAUGUCUUUUCAAGCAGCUCAACGGCACAAGUCUUAACUUGAUAAGUUUUUAAAGAGUUGUCUAAUGUAAUUUUAAUUUCCAGAACAACACUUUUCUGUACCUUACUUCUUUGUACUCUGUUUGUUCAUUUUCAUUGUUGUUGGUUCUGUUUUUUGCUGAGUUUAAUUAGACUCUGUGGUCAGAGAGCUGAUGUCUGAGGUCAAGGCUGCUCUUUACACAGAGGGCACUAAUUCUUGAGGAUUGAUGCAGUGUUCAUCGUGGAAGGGAAAAUAUAAGGUAACUUUUAAGAUGGAAAAUUGUAUCUUGAGAAUUUACUAAAAAAUCAAAUUUUCAAAUUAUGAAACGUAAACAACAUGUUUCUUAAUGUAUAUAAACUGAAUAUAAGAACAACCCAAGAAAAUGGAUUUUACAUCCUGAAUGUGGGCCUGGUUUGUUGAUAUUCAUAUGUUAAAUCUAAUAUUUAAUUAUGUUUUGAAGUAUUCCUUUACUCAGCUUCACCAGGAAAGGAUUUUUCGAAGACAUAAUGCUGUCCUCUAAGAGUGAAUAAAUUCCACAGUAGAGUCAAGAGUAAUAUUCUUAAACCAUCCCAAGUACAACUGUUCAUGUCACUUUAUAUAGUUCAAUUUCUCUAGAAUCAUUUCAGUGAUCCCAUUGCCUAUGAGUUUUAAAGUCUUUCAAAGGAUAUAAAUGUGUCUUAGAAAGUGUCUAGAACUUGAAGAGACUGAUAAGAGUCACUUUCAAAAUGGCUGCUGUAUCAAAAGUUCUUUCUUAUUUGGAUAAUUUUCUGAAUGCGGGUCAAAGUGUAGCAGGCAAGGGUUCCCUUGGAUAGAUUUUUUUAAAGAAAUGAUUAUACAUAUUUGAGUAUUUAAAGUAACUAUUUCUAAAUGUCACCUAAAUAAAAUAAUACUCCACGGUCUUUUUUUCAUGCUUACAACUGACUGAAGCUUAACUUAUACUAAUAUUUUGAACUAAAAUGUAGGAGUUUGAAAAACCCUUGUUAUAAUUGAAAAUUUAUUUUCCUGACAUUAAUUCAUUCUACAAUAGCACACGCCAAAUAAUGCAAUCAUAGUAAGCUUUUGAAGGGAAUUUGGAUAUCAUUUGUCAAACUCUUUUAUUUGCAGAUGAGGAACCAGGUUCCAUAGAACACCAGUGGUUUGUGUAAGCAAAAAAUCACAAUGUUUGUAGCAUUUGUGUUUUAAAACCAAAAUAGGAUGGCAGAAAUUUGAAGUUCUUCCAUCAACAGUUCAGAUCAAAGGAAGCUGAGGUAUCUGAACUCAAAGGCUAUAUUGGAUACUUGCCCUCAAGUAAAGGGACAAAUUUCAUGUAUUCAUGCUGCUUGCAUGUCCUCCUAUUAAAAGCCUAGUGGAUUGUGACUAUUUAAGUAUAUGGAAUCCAGUAUUCCUUUUUGCUAACAUAUGCCAUCUAUUUACUAUGUAUGAACACUGUGGUGAGUAAAACACACGAAUUGUCAUUUAAACCUCAUAAUCCCACAAGGGAGACAGGACCAUUAAUCCCAUUCCAUCAAUACUCCAAGCUGUUCUGUGUGGGGAAAUUUAAGCACCUUCUGGGUGGUGACCAAUCUUCUGUGAUGACUCCUGGUAUCUGUGAUCUGCCUGGAAUUUGGGGUUGAAGUAAAGACUAGUACAUUCUGAAAUGGUUUCUUGUUUACAUACUUUGCAUGUGGUUGGCAUCCAGAGGCAAAGACAGCAUAUGGGUCAGAGAAGACCCCUACAAUACACACUUCUGUACCGAAGCCAGAAGCCUUGUGAAGAGGGCAGAUGUUGGAACAUCAUCAUUUACAACUCAUGACUAACAAGGUUCAGUGGGAACCUUGAAAUUCAGGGAGAAGACCAAGGAGAAUAACCUGGUUUCCGUGCUUGAGAACAACAGCGCACCACUGACCCUGAAGAAUAGAUGGAAAAGUAACCUGCAAAAUAUGAAUUCUAAAAAACAUUGUGUUCAUACCAAUAGAAAGGGUGGCCACUAAAAGCCCCACCUUCACUGCCUGCCUUGGCAGCUAUGAAACACUCUGAAGAGACAGAAAUGCAAACGAAAAUAUCCAGCUGCAGUGUCACUUCUGCGAUGUCACUCCUGAGAUGAUGAUUUAAGAAUCUGGUUUACCUCCUGUCCACACCUGGUCCUUCCCCAGCCUGAGUCCCACACAGUCAUCGCCUGCUACCAUCGUGCUCAGCGCCAAUCUCCCAGACUCUACCCACAUACAUAGCUGCUAGCCAACCCAGAAGGAAGGUGGAAAUGUUUCUCCUUUAUUUUUCCUACGCUGGAAAAGUGAAGCAAAAGUUCCUUCUCUCCAGGGGAAGACAUAAAAUUAAAACUAAAUAGUACAAGCAAUAUGCUGACCAGAGUGUCUGCCAUACACAAUAGACUCCUGGUUUCUUUGACUACAUUGUGUGUCUGGCUGUUGAAACAAUGGUUGAAUAUGAAAAUUGCUAGUACCUUCAUAUUCUAAGGUGUUUGUUUCUAAACAAAAUGAAAUGAUCUACUUGCCAGUCUGGAAAUGGUACUUGGGUUAUUAGAAAUGCCUGCUAGUUCUUUGGCAGAAGAAACAUUGAGAGUGCAGACACAGCUCCUUUAGCAAGUGGACCCACUAUGUGGGUUCCUGAGUAAGCAGGCCUACUGUGCAGGCUCUUGAGCAAGCAAAACUUCUACACUUCUGCCCUUAUCUCUCCUCCUUCAACUCUUUUCACAUACUGUCUUCACAGGCUGGAAUUGGAAGGCCUUUGAUUUCAACUAGUAAUGAAGCAUAAUAAAGCAACAGACCACAGUGCCCCCUUCUCUCACUUUACCUGGAAACUUCCAUGGUAAUAGUUUGUGUACAAGUCACACACGUUACUUCCCACCAGUGCCUGAACAGAUACAACUGGGGGUGCAGGGAAAACAGAGGUAUGAGCAGGAUGUAUUCAGAAAAGAGAUGACUCCACAGGAAUAUGCAUGACAGGAUGGUGAGCCUUGAGAAACCACAGCUACAUUGUGAUAAAAUGUCACUGCUGUUAUUUCAAGGUGUGUGUGUAAGUGUACUAUGGUGCAUGUGUCAUGUGUGGAGGUCAGACAACAAUUUGUGGAAGUCAGUUAUCUUCUUCCACUCUGUGGGAUGCACAGAUCAUCAGAUUUGGUAAGAAGCACCUAGCCAUCUAACUGAACAUUAUGGUUCUUAUUUUAUAAAUAGAUACAAUGAAUCUCUAAGAAUAGAAAUGAUUUCCUCUUUGUGUGUGUGUGUAUAUAUAUGUUUUUCUUUCAGUUUAAAUUUAGAUAAGAAACAAGGUUGCUUCACAAGUCAGUUCCAGGUCCC